AGUCGAACGGCAGCACGGGAGCAAUCCUGGUGGCGAGUGGCGAACGGGUGAGUAAUAUAUCGGAACGUGCCCAGUCGUGGGGGAUAACGCAGCGAAAGCUGUGCUAAUACCGCAUACGAUCUCUGGAUGAAAGCGGGGGACUCGUAAGAGCCUCGCGCGAUUGGAGCGGCCGAUAUCAGAUUAGCUAGUUGGUGGGGUAAAGGCCCACCAAGGCGACGAUCUGUAGCUGGUCUGAGAGGACGACCAGCCACACUGGAACUGAGACACGGUCCAGACUCCUACGGGAGGCAGCAGUGGGGAAUUUUGGACAAUGGGCGCAAGCCUGAUCCAGCAAUGCCGCGUGCAGGAUGAAGGCCUUCGGGUUGUAAACUGCUUUUGUACGGAACGAAAAGGUUUGCCUUAAUACGGUGGGCCCAUGACGGUACCGUAAGAAUAAGCACCGGCUAACUACGUGCCAGCAGCCGCGGUAAUACGUAGGGUGCGAGCGUUAAUCGGAAUUACUGGGCGUAAAGCGUGCGCAGGCGGUUAUAUAAGACAGAUGUGAAAUCCCCGGGCUCAACCUGGGACCUGCAUUUGUGACUGUAUAGCUAGAGUACGGUAGA
rnacentral:rRNA from 1 species